UUCUGCACUGGAAUCAAUCUUGCAGGUGUUCAUGGGUCAUAAAAUUUUAAUUAAUUAGUAAAUUACGUUAUCUUUUGAUAAGAAGCAUUAAUCAAAGAUAAUCUAAUCAGCUUGUAAAAACACUUACCUUAAGAACAUUGUUGAUCUUCAUUAUCAAAACAGCCGACUAACACCCUAAUUGGUUUGUUUUGACAACUGUGCACAAUACACAUGCUUCGAAGAGAUCGAGGUAAUUAGCAUAAAUCCCAUCAUGCCGACGCGUGCUCUAUGGAUUACGCAACAUUUCAUAAUGGUUGUUAUAGUUACAAAAAGAGAGAAAAUCACAUCUUUAUUACACUGACUAAAUCCAAACAUUUUUCUCACCACACGUGUAAGUUAGAAUGCAAAGAAAUAAAACUAGAUAACAUAUUCUUAGGUCGAGGUCACCUGUGUAAUUAAUUACACCUGCUAAAAAUAGUUACGAUAUUUUCAGAAAAUGAUCUGUCCUACUUAAUUUCCCAUAUAAUGACCCAAGAUAAAAGUUAAAUUUAGAAAGCUGUGGAAAAUCCCCCGGUAAUUUUCCAUCAAUAACUCAAAGUCAGUGUGAUUUUCGAAAAAUACCAUCUGAUUUAAAAGUGUAAAUUGCCGAUGACUUUCAGUUUUAACAACAUGAUUUUCUGAAAUCAUUUAUUUGUAGACAGUUUAAUCUUCACAAAUAGGUUUUUGUGGGAUUUAUUGCCGAUGUAUUUAAUUGAUUUUUUGCAUUUAAACUAUGACUGCGAUAAAAUGCGUAUUCAUGGAGAAACAGGCUUAUGCGAUAAACUGCGUAUCUAUGGGGGAACAGGCAUAUGCGAUAAAGUGCGUAUCUAUGGGGGAACAGGCAUACGCGAUAAAAUGCGUAUCUGUGGAGUAUAGGGAUAGAGAACAGAACUUUGAUGGGAUUGUAAGUUUUCUUCGAAAUAAGAGAUCUUGAGAUACGUUUUAAGUACAUUUAGGCGAAGAGCAUAUUUGUGUAUCUCAAAUGGCUGUCCAGCUGGAGCCAGUAUGGACCAGACUCCUUCCAGAAUUUUAAGAAUGAAAACAGUCACCAAUGUCAGCCACAUCACAAAUGGCGGAAAAAGUACUGGCUGAAGAUCAACCAAAACCUGUAGACUCAGACAGACAAGGUCGAGGAGCAGAAACCAAGAACUCGUUCUCCAUCUCCAGCCAAGACUAGGAGUCGUACACCGUCUAUGUCGAGUUACACGGAAUCUUCGUCUAUAUCUGAAACAUUUAACGAGUGUGUUUCGGAGAGUCAGUUGCUUAUCAACAACAGAGAUGGGGAAGUGUCUGACGUCCUAAUAGAUGAGGAGAAACGGGACUUACUUUAUGUCUGUACAGUUUCUGUAAAAGACCGAGAUCCCGCCAGAAAAAGACCCACUGCUAUACAUGUUGGCUCGUUUACAGAGUGCUGCCCCACAGUAUAGCAUGUAUCAGAUGUCAUAUAAACAGGUAACAGAUGUCCUAAGUACAACAGGUAAGAGCGAGGGAGAAGUUAUCCUUGUUGUUCCAGCUGGCCAGCAAAAGUACAUUCCUGAACAAGACAUUGGGUAUGCUGCACCUACACAUAGCAAAUCACCACGUACAAUGUCACCACUGGGCGGAGCUUCAUACCACAGAUGUGUGUCCUCACCACAGAAAGACAAGAGUUCCAAGCGUUCACAACACCCACUCGAGUUUCAUUGGAAGGUGACUUGAAUGACCAACAGAGAUCUGUUAACCCAACCAGAGGUAUCCUCAAACGAAGCUCCGCAUUCGACAAUAAUGCUCAAGGUCAGCCAAUGAGAAGAGACGACACUGAUGUUCCAUUUAGGGAUUCUGGGAGGUCGCACACACCAAUAGGAAGGUUACACCAGGUGGAAGGCAGCCGCAAGCUAAGGGCAUGAUUGGUGCAGGAGGCAGAACAGUCCAACAAGGCUAUAGAUAAAUUCAUUAUCCCACAACCCACUCACUACAGGUAUAAACUUGCUUUAGUACUUUUUCAUGAGGGAGGUCAAAACUGCUUUGAAAAAUUGAAGGUAUCUCAAAUGGCUGUCCCAGCUGGAGCCAGUAUGGAUCAGACUUCCUCCAGAAUCUCAAAAACCGAAAACAGAAUCACCAAAAUCAGCCACAUCACCGCAGGUAACAGAGAUGGAUUAAGAAGAACUGGCUGAACAAACAUAAAAACUGCAUGGAGGAUUAAGUCAUGGCUAAAAUAUAUUUCAACAACACCCCUGGAAAGAAAUUGUUCUAAAACUUAAAUCUUUGACAUGUCAGGGCUAAUUUGUUACAAGUUUUUAAAAUUUUCUUAAUGCAUUUAUUUACGGUAGAAAACACUGUACACACUUUAUAUACAUUUGUUAUACUGUUUCACUUGCAAUUUAAUCACAAAACAUUACAAAUUUUAUUUUGUUGUUUUUUUUUUUUCUUUUUACAGCAUUAUUAUAUACCGGGGUAUGAUAGUGUCAGCUGUUAAAUUCAGCUAAUUGAACAGUCUUCAGACAUACUUUUAUCCCUUUAUUCUUCCUUUUUCAACUUGAUACGUAUGUUUUUGCAUGUACGUUUACAGUAAUUUAAGGUUUAAUAUAAAAUUGAAUGUUUUUUGCAAUGAAGUAUUCAGUACCUUGGUCUUUGUGGAGAUCACCUUUAUUUUAGCUCACCACUCACAUAGUGACAAGGUGAGCUUUUUCGAUCGCCCGUCGUCCGUCCACAAUUUCUUUGUGAACACGAUAGAGAACACAUUUUGCAACCCAUUUUUAUCAAACUUGCACACAACUUGUUUUGGCAUAUUUAUCUCGGUUCCUUUCGAAAACUGGCCAGAUACCAUCAUGACUUUUAAAAUCAUGGCUCAUAAAAGGGCCAAAAUUUGCUAUUUUGGCAUGUGAACACCAUAGAGACCACAUUUUGCAAUCCAUUUUUAUCAAACUUGGACAUAACUUGUAUUAGCGUAACAUCUCAGUUCCCUCCUUGCAAGAUUUAAUCAUGGGUUCCAGAGUUAUGGUCCCUUAAAGGGCGAAAUUUGCUAUUUUUGGCUUUUGCAGCCAUAUAGAGGCUUCAUUUAUGGUUUAAUUUGAUACAAACUUGCAAAAUAUCUUUAACAACAAUAUAUCUUGGAUUCCAUGAUGAAUCCGUCUCAUCCAAUCAUAGAUUUCGGAGUUACGCCCCCUGAUUUAGCAAAAAGUUGUUAAUUCUUACCUUGCGAACACAGCAGAAGUGAUAUUUCACAUUCUAUUUUGACUACACUUACACACAAAAGUCACAAUUAGAUCCCGGUUUCUUUCGAAAACCCUUUCAGCCAUAUCGAGGUUUCAUUUAUGCCUUGAUUGAAACUUGCACAGAAUGUUUAUCUUGGUUAUCUUUCGGCCAAGUUUGAAACUGGAUCAUGCGAAGUCAAAAACUAGGCCACCAGGUCAAAUCAAAGGAAAAGCUUGGUUACACCCUAGAGGCCAUAUAUAUGACCCUAACUUCAUGAAACUUGUUAAGAAUGUUUAUAUUGAUAAUUCCUAUGCCAAGUUCAAAACAGGGUCGCGUGGGUCAAAAACUAGAUCAUCCGGUCAAAUUAGAGGAAAAGCUGUUAACACUCUUGAGAAUACAUUUAUAACACUAUCUUAAUGAAACUUAGCCAUUAUGUUUAUCUUGAUAAUUCCAAUGCCACAUUUAUUAACACAGGUGAGUAAUAUAGGGUCAUACUGGCCCUCUUAAUUGCUGUUCAGGUGAGUUGAAUGACUAACAGGGCUUUCUAAGUCCAUCACGGGGUAUCCUGAAACGAAGCUCCUCAUUCGACAAUAAUGCUCAAGGUCAGCCAUUGAGAAGAGAUGACACUGAUGUUCUAGUGAGGUAGUCUGAGUGGUCACACAUAUCAACAGGAAGGUAAAGGUGGAAGGCAACCACAAGCCAAGGGCAUGAUUGAUGCACGAGAAACAACAGCCCAACAAGGCCAGUGUUGCACAUAGACAGCUCUACGUUUGAAUCUUUUUUUUUACGAGAGCGAAGUUGCAUUGGUAGUUGUAUAUUAUCUUAUUUUUGUAGAACUGAAUAAUGUGAACAAAAGUAGAAAACAUUUUUUGCUAUUUUUGUAGAAUAUUCUGCUGCAUACAAAGAAAAAGAAUCUGGAAUGUUCUGUUUUUGUUGAAUUAAACAGCAUUAUAUUUCGAUAUGGCCAACAGAUACCCAAACAUUGCUUUUUGAUUUCCUUGCAGUGACAUCAUAUUUUUUCAUUAAUUCAUAACUUCCCCACGUGAAUGAGGAGUUUGAGGAUGAAUGAAAUAGGUCUUGUGCAUUUUUGUCAAAUUGUCACCGUUACAUGCACUGGCGCUGAAGAUUGAACACGGAAUCUCUUCUUAAAGUUUUGCUUUCUCCCUGCAGGAUAUUGCUCUAUUUCAGAUAAUAGAAGAGCACAAUUAUAACAAAGUUGGAAAAUAACUAGCAAUUUUUGCAUUUGAUAACUUAGCGGAUCUUAUAAUUUCAUUUGGGUGUCAAAUUCUGAUAUUUCGGAAUAAAAAUGAAACUGUGUCUGUGCCUAUUAGGAUUUCGAGAUUUACUAAUGGGGGCCUCGCUGACAUUUGCUUCACUAUUCUCUCAUCAAUAGUUUCAACCUCCACUUAUGUUGUGAUUAUUUUAUGUGUUUUUCAGUUGACUUAUGCCAGUAAUUCUGCUCAGAAGGCGCGUCCAUGACGAAAAUAAUACCCGUUUCUUUUCACCAUUACAACUGAACAUUUGUCAUAUGACUCAAGUUAGGACUGUGUAUAUCAAAAGUCUUCAAAUACAACUAUGCAUUGGACAAUGGCCUGCAGUUCAAAAUACUGUUUGCCCUGCCCGAAAUAGUGACUGGUAUUUCAAUGGUUUCCUGCUCUGCUGACUUAGUUAGAUGGGCAGGCAACAGAAAGAGAUUAACAUCAUUGCUUCAACAGAUUUAUGCCAACCAAAAUGAACCUUUGCUUAGUUUUCACACCUAUAUCAUCGUAGUACAUGUUCUAGAUCAUAUGCGUGACGUCACUGAUGAUAUGGUUGUAUUUGAGAUUACAAAGAAAAGACCAGUACAUUUCCGGAGGCUGUUAAGUUUUCUGAACCUGCACCACCCCAAAAUAGGGUUCCAAGUUCAGCAUAUGUGGUUGGCAACAGCAACCCAAAGUGGAACCAAAGAAAACAGUUGGAAAGAGACCAGGAACAGGUGGAAAAUAGAAUGUUCAUAAACUCUAUAGGCCACCUCCUAAUGUAAAUUACAAUAUAAAAAAAUGUGUAGGAAAAAGCAAAUUUCUGAAAUAAGUGUGCAAAAUGCAAAAUCCUCUUUCUGCAUCCUUCAUGUAAAUAAUUGAGUAUCCUCCAUAUAUCAUCAUUUGUCCACCAUGAAAAGAAUUAAAUUUGAUACAAAUAGAGUAAUACUUCUUGAAAGGUAAAACUUGUUAUAAAGUCAAACUUCGCGAGAGACCGCCUCUUGCUUUAUGACGCUUUUGUUAGCUCAAUUGGACUUUGUUCAGGAUGAGCUAUUAGUAAAGGUGGAUAGUCUGGCGUCCAUCGUCCCGCGUCCUGUGUCAAUACUUCUACUUCAACAUCUUCUUAUCUGAAAGUACUGCUCAAAGAAUUAAAUGAAUUACACCAAACUUAGUCAGUGGCAUCCUGGUGUGUACAUCUAUCAGAUUUGUUCGAAUGAUUCACAAUGGCCCGUGUUACUGGCUGCCAGAGCUAAAAAUUAAAAAACAUCUUUUUAAAAAACUUCUUCUGAUGAACCACUCAUAAUAAGGUCAAAUGGCGGCACUUUGCCGCUUUUAGGGGCCGCUAGAGCUAAAACUAGAAAUACUUUAAAACAGCUUAUUCUUAUAAACUGUUUGAUGUAUCUUCAUCGGACUUGGUCUGGUUUCCCAAAUUUGUUCAAAUGAGGGCACUAGGCCACUUUUGAGGGCCACUGGAACUAAAAAUAGAAAAAUGUAUAAAAGACUUCAUGAAUUGCAUUUGGGCCACUUGUUUUAUUUAAGAACAAUCAUAAUGUUGUAUCAAAGAGACCAUUAGUAUUUAGAGACCACUUUCCAAUAUUCUCUUAGGUGAUGUCUACAUGCAAGUUAUAUAAUUAUAUUUUUAAAGCCCCUAAAGUGAUACAUAUAUAAUAAUUGCAUUGUAUUUCUGCACAAUAGUUAGUUUGUCCAACGAACUUCAUGCCUCAGCUACAUUUUCUGAACAAUUCAAAUAAAGCAUUACACAAAUGUUAAGCAUAAUCAGAAUAUAAAAGGUAAAAAGGUAAAAGUCUUGUUUAUUAUAGUGUCACCUCUAUUGAAAGGGCCAGCCAAUUUGGCUUAUGAGACACCUUUAUUGUGCCUACCAAUUACCUCCCAACUCCUACCACUAUGCCAGGCGCCAGGCGGAUAGAAGUCGGUAACCAUUCAUUUAACUAGCUCGCGGCUCACGAACCGGUCAUUUCGGAACGAGUCCCAUGACAAACAUCUCCCGGACGAACGCUUCCCGUAGGGCUCGAACCUUCAACCUCCCGAUCCCGAGGCGGACGCCUUAACCACUGGGCCACGGUUUAUGUUUUGGUCUCAAUAUUCAUAGGUCAUUGGCAAAGGUCAUAGCCCUGGGCGCUCAGUUUUGGAGAUAUUCGUCACUUACUACUGACAUCUCUUUUUAAGAUGAAGCAUGCUUCACUGUAUAUUCCUGAUUUUUAUCAGCUCAAUAUUUUGAUUGCACAAUUUGUUACAUAUUUAUGCAAUACCACUUUUUGUCAUAUGUGAGCUUUUAUUGCAUC